rnacentral:misc_RNA from 1 species
AAAAUGCAAAACAAACAAACAUAUCAAGGCUCAUUUCAACUAUGCUUUUUCAUGGAAAAAUUUUCUUAUCAACCCCAACAUUGAAAACACACAUGCACAAUGAACCACAACAACCAUCAUAGGUAUUUCCAAUCACUGAAGGGAUCAAUUUGGUUCCCAUUCUUUAAGGUAGACACUAGACAAGGUAAGUUCAGUAUAAAGAGCUCUCC